ensembl:lincRNA
UUAAACUUGUAAUUCAUGGGCGCUUCUGAGACCAUGCUCGUUUUCUUCCACAAGUCUUCAGGUGGCAGAAAAAAAGCUACCUGCAGCGUCAGUCUGUAACCACGCCCACUCGAAUGACAUCACUCACAGGCCACGCCCCACGCACCUGUCCGCUUGGUUUUGCUAGAGCGAAGGGAGCCGAGUGAGUUUGUUCUGCAUCUUUUUACGAUUAAUUUUAGUUUUCCUUUAUUUGAAUGUAGAUAAAAUUGAACUCAUGUGAUUAUGUAGUCUAACUCUCUCAGAGGAAAGGAAACGUAUAUUCGUUGGGAGCUAAAUUGCAUUUUAAUGUAAGCCUUACUUUUCCAACGCUAAUCUUAUUUUUAACAAGCCACUUGUGUGACACAGCGUGUGUAUUUCUUUUUCAUCGAAGAAAAGCUCUGUUGUAGUGUUAAAGACUGCUGUAUUGACAAUGAAAACGUCGCUUUCCAUUUUUUUCUUGAUCUAAAUCUUUCUCAAACAUUUCGUGAACUUUGUUCACAAAAUCAAGCUUCUGCAUUUUUCCAAACCCAAAGUAGCCUUUCUAGAAUUGUAAAGUUUUUUCAUUGUUUUCCAGUGUAUGUUGUGUGCUUGCGUUCCUAUAUUUGAGGUAAAAUUUUUGGAUUGCAAAUAGUUUUAAGUUUAAAUGGUCUUUAAAUUCUGUAUUCUGCAGUUUUUGUGUUUUCAGUUUGGUGUCUUCGGGUAGGACAUGAUUCGCACUAAAUAAACGUAUAAACUUUAGUGUCUUCGGGCAGGACAUGCUUGGCUCAGGUCCUGGAAUUAUCUAUGAAAUGCAACAACGUUUGUCUUCAUUCUGGUCGCUGUCUCGACAGAUGCCUUGGAGAACCAGUAACGUGCUGUAUGUUUCUGCGUUUUACCAUGUAGUUGCUUGCAAAUCUUUUCAUACUCCGUUUACUUGUAACAGUAUAUAGUGUUAAUGUAGCCGUGUUUUGAGAUUUUGUCAUUUAAAAACGAUAAUUUUCACUUCAAAGCCUUUGUAUGUGUCGUACUGGAAUGCUUUGUUUUGCAUGCACGUUUAGCUCAAUAAAUGGUUAAUUGACGUUUGUG